rnacentral:rRNA from 1 species
UAGGGAAUAUUGGACAAUGGGGGCAACCCUGAUCCAGCCAUGCCGCGUGAGUGAAGAAGGCCCUCGGGUUGUAAAGCUCUUUUGUCCGGAAAGAAAAGCAUUCGGUGAAUACCCUGAUGUUCUGACGGUACCGGAAGAAUAAGCACCGGCUAACUUCGUGCCAGCAGCCGCGGUAAUACGAAGGGUGCAAGCGUUACUCGGAAUUACUGGGCGUAAAGCGUGCGUAGGUGGUUGUUUAAGUCUGAUGUGAAAGCCCUGGGCUCAACCUGGCAGUGGCAAUGGAAACUGGGCAGCUAGAGUGCGGUAGAGGGUAGUGGAAGUCCCGGUGUAGCAGUGAAAUGCGUAGAGAUCGGGAGGAACAUCUGUGGCAAAGGCGACUGCCU